GGAUUCCCCUAGUAACUGCGAGUGAAGCGGGAAAAGCUCAAAUUUAAAAUCUGGCAGUCUCUGGCUGUCCGAGUUGUAAUCUAGAGAAGUAAUGCCCGUGCUGGACCGUGUAUAAGUCUCCUGGGAUGGGGCGUCAUAGAGGGUGAGAAUCCCGUCUUUGACACGGACUACCAGUGCAUUGUGGUAUGCUCUCAAAGAGUCGAGUUGUUUGGGAAUGCAGCUCAAAAUGGGUGGUAAAUUCCAUCUAAAGCUAAAUAUUGGCGAGAGACCGAUAGCGAACAAGUACCGUGAGGGAAAGAUGAAAAGAACUUUGGAAAGAGAGUUAAACAGUACGUGAAAUUGCUGAAAGGGAAACGCUUGAAGUCAGUCGCGUUGGCCGGGAAUCAGCCUUGCUUUUGCAUGGUGUACUUUCUGGUUGACGGGUCAGCAUCAAUUUUGACCGCUGGAAAAAGGCCUGGGGAAUGUGGCAGCUUCGGCUGUGUUAUAGCCCCUAGUUGCAUACAGUGGUUGGGAUUGAGGAACUCAGCACGCCGCAAGGCCGGGUUUCGACCACGUUCGUGCUUAGGAUGCUGGCAUAAUGGCUUUAAGCGACCCGUCUUGAAACACGGACCAAGGAGUCUAACAUGCCUGCGAGUAUUUGGGUGGAAAACCCAAGUGCGUAAUGAAAGUGAAAGUUGAGAUCCCUGUCGUGGGGAGCAUCGACGCCCGGACCAGAACUUUUGGGACGGAUCCGCGGUGGAGCAUGUAUGUUGGGACCCGAAAGAUGGUGAACUAUGCCUGAAUAGGGUGAAGCCAGAGGAAACUCUGGUGGAGGCUCGUAGCGAUUCUGACGUGCAAAUCGAUCGUCAAAUUUGGGUAUAGGGGCGAAAGACUAAUCGAACCAUCUAGUAGCU
rnacentral:rRNA from 1 species